rnacentral:rRNA from 1 species
AGCGAACGCUGGCGGCAGGCCUAACACAUGCAAGUCGAACGGAACCUUCGGGGUUAGUGGCGGCCGGGUGCGUACCACGUGGGAACGUGCCUUUAGGUUCGGCAUAGCUUCUGGAAACGGGCGGUAAAGUCGGGCGUGUCCUUCGGGGGAAUGAUUUAUCGCCUUUAGAGCGGCCCGCGUCUGAUUAGCUUGUUGGUGAGGUAACGGCUAUCCAAGGCGACGAUCAGUAGUUGGUUUGCGAGGAUGACCAGCGAGACUGGGACUGGGACACGGCCCAGACUCCUGGGGGAGGCGGCGGUGGGGGAUCUAGCGGAAGGGGCGAAAGGCUGAAGCAGCCAGGGCGGGUUAAUGAUGAAGGGCUUGGGAUUGGAAAAUUCUUGCGGCGGAGAUUGUAAUGACGGUACCCGGAGAAGAAGCCCCGGCUAACUACGUG